UACAGAAGGGUCUCAAGCGUUGUUCGGAUUCAUUGGGGCGUAAAGGGUGCGUAGGCGGGCGCGGUAAGGUACGGGUGUGGAAAUCAUCGGAGCUUAACUCCGAAACUGCAUCCGAUACUGCCUGGUGCUUGAGGACUGGAGAGGAGACUGGAAAUUUACGGUGUAGCGGUGAAAUGCGUAGAUAUCAGGAGGAACACCCGAUGGCGAAGGCAGGUCUCUGGGCAUUGAACUGACGCUGGAGGAGCGAAAGCAUGGGGAGCGAACAGG
rnacentral:rRNA from 1 species